CGCAGGGGCCUCAGCAGCGAGACGUCGCUGCGCCGGCACCGCGCACGGGCGCGGCUGUGGGUCGCCGUUGCGGCGCUGGUUACCGGCACCAUCUGGCUCUGGUCCUCCUCCUCCGUUGUCCUCUUCGGCACCCACAGGGUCCAGGAUUUUGUUGUAGAUGAGUUGUGGAAAACUGCAGAUUCAAAUGGUUGGAGAGCGUCUUCUGCACCACGCACCUAUUGGCCUCCCCCACCAACUGAAUCCGAGAGCAAUGGGUACUUGCGUGUCCGGUGCAAUGGCGGCUUGUCCCAACAACGAAGUGCAAUAUGUAAUGCUGUUGUUGCAGCACGAAUCAUGAAUGCUACACUAGUGCUGCCAGAGUUAGAUGCAAAUUCAUUCUGGCAUGAUGAGAGUGGUUUUGUAGAUAUGUAUGAUGUUCCCCACUUCAUCAAGACAUUGAAAUAUGAUGUUCGAAUUGUUAUGAGUGUUCCAAAAAUCACUGCACAUGGAAAGUCCAAGAAGCUCAGAGCUUAUAAGAUUGAACCACCUAGAGAUGCACCAGUUACUUGGUACAGGACAACUGCUCUGGAGAAGUUGAGGAAGUAUGGUGCGAUAUAUUUAACUCCAUUUUCACACCGUUUGGCAGAAGAAAUUGAUGAUCCAGAGCUCCAGAGAUUGAGAUGCAGGGUGAAUUAUCACGCACUACAGUUUAAGCCAAAUAUCAUGAAAACAAGCAGUGAUAUAGUGAAUAAGCUCCGUUCAGAAGGCCAUUUCAUGUCGAUUCAUCUUCGGUUUGAGCUGGAUAUGCUUGCAUAUGCCGGGAACAUUCCUUACUUCCAAAAUGAAAACUGCAGAUGCAUUGACAUAUUCACACCUAAAGAACAGGAAAUCCUGUUGAAGUAUCGGGAAGAAAAUUUUGCAAAUAAGACCCUUGUCUACAAGAAAAGAAGGCUCAUUGGAAAGUGCCCUUUAACUCCAGAAGAGGUAGGUCUUAUCAUUCGUGCUAUGGGAUUUGAUAACACAACACGGAUUUACCUUGCUUCUGGCAAGCUCUUUGGUGGGGAACGCUUCAUGAAGCCAUUCAAGGCUAUGUUUCCACGUCUAGAAAACAAUAGUAUGAUUGGAAGUGGAAAGCUGGAAGAGGAUAACCGAGGGCUAGCAAGGUCAGCAGUUGACUACAUGGUCUGUCUCCUGUCGGACAUUUUUAUGCCCACGUAUGAUGGCCCGAGCAACUUCGCAAACAACCUCAUGGGUCAUCGCCUAUACUAUGGUUUCCGAACCACAAUCACGCCAAACAGGAAGGCCCUUGCUCCGAUAUUCAUGGACAUGGAGGAAGGGCGUGCAUCUGGAUAUGAGGAGAGGAUCAGGCAGGUCAUGUUCAACACCCAUUUUGGCGCCCCCCACAAGCGCAUCCAUCCAGAGUCUUUCUACACAAACUCAUGGCCAGAGUGCUUCUGCCAGAUGAAAGCUGGGAAUCAAGCUGACCGGUGCCCACCCGACAAUGUAAAUGAUGUCCUUGAAAGUCAGUUCCAGAAUAAAGAGGAUGUAGAAGCGGAAGCUACUAAUCAAACUGACUCCAACAGCUCAAUGGAAACUGGAGUUUAG
rnacentral:rRNA from 1 species